rnacentral:lncRNA from 1 species
AAAAAUCAGAUAUGGAAGGGAAAACUAUUCUUCUCUGCCUUAUGGUGCUUGUGCUUCUAGGAAAUCUAAACCAUGCUCGUAAGAAAUCAAUCUCCAUGUCCCUAUAUACAUGUCUCCAUUAUCCCAAGCAUUGUAGAACUGCACAAGUUUCUUAGUUUGGAUAUAUCUUAUUGACUUAUUUUGUUGUCAACAGGGAAUUGCCAUACCCAUUGUGCUUUUUGGGAACCAUUUAUUUGUUUUCCUAUGACUUGCCAGGCAACAUGUGAGCAGAAGUGGCGGAAUCUCCUUGAUCACUCCUAUUGUCAUGCGGAUAACAUUUUCGUAAACUCUUGUAUGUGUGUUGUGUGUGAUAAGUGACUAUAUCGAAUUGCACUUUUCCAUCUUGCCAAACAAUGAAGAAUGAUGUCCAGUAAUAAAAUAUUCCAUUGACGUGCA